CAGUAGCCGCGGGAAUACGAAGGGUGCAAGCGUUACUCGGAAUUACUGGGCGUAAAGCGUGCGUAGGUGGUGGUUUAAGUCCGUUGUGAAAGCCCUGGGCUCAACCUGGGAAUUGCAGUGGAUACUGGGUCACUAGAGUGUGGUAGAGGAUAGUGGAAUUUCCGGUGUAGCAGUGAAAUGCGUAGAGAUCGGAAGGAACAUCUGUGGCGAAGGCGACUAUCUGGGCCAACACUGACACUGAGGCACGAAAGCGUGGGGAGCAAACAGGAUUAGAUACCCGAGUAGUCCCUGUCUCUUAUAC
rnacentral:rRNA from 1 species